GGUGUCUGCAUAGGUAUCCUUCUUGUAACUCCUCCUCAUAAGUCCCAAUCCCCUCUCAGGUUGCCCUUCUUAAUUAUGGAAUCAAGGAUGAGC